UAGAAAAUAUUCACUAUUUGACCAAUGUAAACAACCAAAAGCGACAGUUUAUGCAGAUUAAAAACGUUGAUGUAGAAAGCAUGAAGUGGACAGGCUGACAUGACAUGAAUUAAAGGUGGAUGAGACGCGUAAUCAACUACGCGCCACAGAAAAAUAUAGCCCCCACC